rnacentral:misc_RNA from 1 species
CCUUUCUACGGAGAAAUGAAUGUUCGCCGGCAUGUGUUCCGGGCCUGUGAGGGGUCCGGGGUGCCGGUGUCGCUGGCUGGAAAAGGGUCAUUGGCAAGCCUUGGGUUCGCUGUUGUGGUGUGGUGCAUGCUGUUGGGUCCCCGGACCGCCACCCGCCUCCCCGGUGUGGGGGGGUGUGGUGUUCCGUGCGCCCCAUGGGGUGUCCCUGCCCGUGUUCGGGUGUGGGGUGUCCUGUGCGGGUUGGUGGUUUGAGAACUGGAGAGUGGACGCGAGCGUCACACGGCCGCGGGUUUUUCGUGGUUCGUGUGUUCGCUUGGUACUGCGGCCGCCGUCCCCUGUUGGGGGUGGUGGUUCGUUGUAGUUGUUGUUUAUCGUUUUGUGAUCAUUAUUUUUUGUGUCGAUGACGCCGGCUGUCCCUUGUUGGGAUGGUUGGCGUGUUGUCUGGUGUUUUUCGUGUGGUCUUGCGGGCGU